rnacentral:snRNA from 1 species
AUCACUUUUUGGCCUUUUGGGUAAGGUCAAGUGUAGUAUCUGUUCUUAUCAAUUUAAACCCCACAGGAAAGACUAUGUUUUCUCCCCUCAUCUGCAGGGGGAAAAAUCCAGGGCUUCAAAUGUUUAGGCCAUUUAGUUAUAUCACUGAAUCAGUCACUAAGGGAUUAUGUUGGUUAUGUUAAGCCUAAAUUCUAGAACCUAU